AAUAGAUACCCGGGUAGUCCACCCCGUAAACGUUGGGAACUAGUUGUGGGGUCCAUUCCACGGAUUCCGUGACGCAGCUAACGCAUUAAGUUCCCCGCCUGGGGAGUACGGCCGCAAGGCUAAAACUCAAAGGAAUUGACGGGGACCCGCACAAGCGGCGGAGCAUGCGGAUUAAUUCGAUGCAACGCGAAGAACCUUACCAAGGCUUGACAUAUACGAGAACGGGCCAGAAAUGGUCAACUCUUUGGACACUCGUAUACAGGUGGUGCAUGGUUGUCGUCAGCUCGUGUCGUGAGAUGUUGGGUUAAGUCCCGCAACGAGCGCAACCCUCGUUCUAUGUUGCCAGCACGUUAUGGUGGGAACUCAUGGGAUACUGCCGGGGUCAACUCGGAGGAAGGUGGGGAUGACGUCAAAUCAUCAUGCCCCUUAUGUCUUGGGCUUCACGCAUGCUACAAUGGCCGGUACAAAGGGCUGCGAUGCCGUAAGGUGGAGCGAAUCCCAAAAGCCGGUCCCAGUUCGGAUUGAGGUCUGCAACUCGACCUC
rnacentral:rRNA from 1 species